rnacentral:rRNA from 1 species
UAGGGAAUCUUCGGCAAUGGACGAAAGUCUGACCGAGCAACGCCGCGUGAGUGAAGAAGGUUUUCGGAUCGUAAAACUCUGUUGUUAGAGAAGAACAAGGACGUUAGUAACUGAACGUCCCCUGACGGUAUCUAACCAGAAAGCCACGGCUAACUACGUGCCAGCAGCCGCGGUAAUACGUAGGUGGCAAGCGUUGUCCGGAUUUAUUGGGCGUAAAGCGAGCGCAGGCGGUUUCUUAAGUCUGAUGUGAAAGCCCCCGGCUCAACCGGGGAGGGUCAUUGGAACCUGGGAGACUUGAGUGCAGAAGAGGAGAGUGGAAUUCCAUGUGUAGCGGUGAAAUGCGUAGAUAUAUGGAGGAACACCAGUGGCGAAGGCGACUCUCUGGUCUGUAACUGACGCUGAGGCUCGAAAGCGUAGUGAGCAAACAGG